UGCCUAACACAUGCAAGUCGAACGAGAAAGGGACUUCGGUCCUGAGUAAAGUGGCGCACGGGUGAGUAACACGUAGGUAACCUGCCUCUAAGAUUGGGAUAACCUGUCGAAAGACGAGCUAAUACCGAAUAAGACCACGAUUCCCUCGGAAAUUGGGGUCAAAGGUAGCCUCUACAUGUAAGCUAUCACUUAGAGAUGGGCCUGCGUACCAUUAGCUAGUUGGUGGGGUAACGGCCUACCAAGGCAAAGAUGGUUAGCUGGUCUGAGAGGAUGAUCAGCCACACUGGAACUGAGACACGGUCCAGACUCCUACGGGAGGCAGCAGUGGGGAAUAUUGCGCAAUGGGCGAAAGCCUGACGCAGCAACGCCGCGUGAGUGAUGAAGGCCUUCGGGUCGUAAAGCUC
rnacentral:rRNA from 1 species